GCGGCAGUAGCACAAUGGCAGUGCGUUUGCUUCCCAAGCAAGAUACGCGGGUUCGAUUCCCGUCUGCCGCU
rnacentral:tRNA from 1 species